rnacentral:rRNA from 1 species
ACGUACACUCCUGCGGGAGGCAGCAGUGGGGAAUAUUGCACAAUGGGCGCAAGCCUGAUGCAGCCAUGCCGCGUGUAUGAAGAAGGCCUUCGGGUUGUAAAGUACUUUCAGCGGGGAGGAAGGCGAUAAGGUUAAUAACCUUGUCGAUUGACGUUACCCGCAGAAGAAGCACCGGCUAACUCCGUGCCAGCAGCCGCGGUAAUACGGAGGGUGCAAGCGUUAAUCGGAAUUACUGGGCGUAAAGCGCACGCAGGCGGUCUGUCAAGUCGGAUGUGAAAUCCCCGGGCUCAACCUGGGAACUGCAUUCGAAACUGGCAGGCUAGAGUCUUGUAGAGGGGGGUAGAAUUCCAGGUGUAGCGGUGAAAUGCGUAGAGAUCUGGAGGAAUACCGGUGGCGAAGGCGGCCCCCUGGACAAAGACUGACGCUCAGGUGCGAAAGCGUGGGGAGCAAACAGGAUUAGAUACCCCUGUAGUCCC